AACGCGAAGAACCUUACCCAGGCUCGAAAUGUAACGGCUAGUACCAGAGAUGGUAUGUUCCGCAAGGACUGUUAUAUAGGUGCUGCAUGGCUGUCGUCAGCUCGUGCCGUGAGGUGUUUGGUUAAGUCCAGCAACGAGCGCAACCCUUAUCAUUAGUUGCCAACACGCGAGGUGGGGACUCUAAUGAGACUGCCUGGGUUAACCAGGAGGAAGGUGAGGAUGACGUCAAGUCCGCAUGGCCUUUAUGUCUGGGGCUACACACGUGCUACAAUGGUCGGUACAGAAGGCAGCAAGACCGCAAGGUGGAGCAAAUCCCUAAAGCCGAUCCCAGUUCAGAUUGUCGUCUGCAACUCGACGACAUGAAGUUGGAAUUGCUAGUAAUGACGUGUCAGCUACAACGUCGUGAAUACGUUCCCGGGCCUUGUA
rnacentral:rRNA from 1 species